UCCACCUCCCUCAAUCAGCGCACGACCCGCACGGCCCACCCCCCUUCCUAUCGCUCUCCCACCACACCUGCGUCUCCGCCCUCCGCCGGAAUUCCGCUCCCGCACCUCCGCCAUCAGCGCUCCGCUCCGUAUCAGCCGCCGCGCCGUCCUCUGCAUCGCCUGUCUGCCACCGAUCCCCGCCGCCAGCUCGCUCUCCACGAUCCUCCGCCUCCCCGAUGCACGAGGUCCUCCCGUCACCAGGUCGUCGCCGCCGUUCUGCUCCACCGAUCCCCGCCGCACGAGGUGCUCCCGUCGCUAGGUAGCCACCGCGCCGUCCUCUGCAUCGCCUUCUCCACCGAUCCCCUCUGCAUCGCAGGGGUGAGCUGCAGCUAUGGAGUUCCUCGCCGGUGGGGGAGCAGCAGGUGAAUCCCGUGAGAGGUGAGUAGUUGAACAAAACUCAUCAUGCAGUUCAUCAGCAGCGCUUGCCGCUUUUCCUCAGAGUACAAUGAACGCGGGGUGCUCGGCGAAAUGUCCCGUCCGGCUCCUCACCUGCAAUGCAUGUGUUCUGGAGAGUGUUUAUGGAUUCUGGAUCUUAGAUCCCCUCAACGACUUGGAUCGUCAGUAAAGCUUCAUCUUGAAGGUGCACAUCUGCCGUUGUUUCGUCAAAAUACUAUGCAUGAUCUUUAGGUGAUAAAAUAUUGAUUGAAUUGUCUACUGCUAUCGCUCAGAAUCCAUACUCCAUCAAUCUUACAUAUACACAUAUUUGUUGCGUCAAACACAAGCUUGCUUUCCAUACAUCCCUGAACAAUUCAGCCUCACAACUGCUCUUGACAUAUCUCAUUCAGAAUUUUUUUUUCUCAAAUUAGUUGGACUGAUAGAAAAAUAUUGCUUUUCAAGAUUGUAAAAUAACCAACUGACUGGGAAGUUGAUGUCAUAUGUUGGAAGCAAUCUGCUAAAAUGUUAAAGAAGUGCAUCUAACUUUUGUACCCAGUGAAUUGCAAAUCUCUAUCUCGUUUUUUUUUGUUUACAGUUUCUUUGGUUUUAAAGUAAAAUAGGUUGACAUGGGAACUUUACUAGCAGAGGAAUAGGCUUAUAUUCUUGGAAAAAAUACAUUUCUCCAUGCAGAAUGUGAUUACAAUAAUGAUACUUGCUGCCAUGAUUUCUAUCACUCAUGCACGCAUUGCCCUUGAUGAUUGUAUGCAGUUGGGAUAUAUUGGUGAGUUCACCCUCUAUCUCUCUCUCAAACCAUUAUUUAUCUUCAUUCACUAUUCACUUACAAUUUCCCUCGUAUUAGUGAUAUGUAUUAGUGAGUUUAUGAAAAAAAGAUCAGAUAUUUAAAAACAGAGUUAGCUCCUUUGGAACGAAGACAAAAUGCUACUUUGAUAACUUGACUUCUCAACACCACUCUUAUCUGCACACAAUUUUUUUAAUGACCAGUUUGAACUUUCAUCUCUUUACAGUCAUCAAGCAAGAAAAUCCUUGGCGGUUCUGCUUCCUGGAAGCAGUAGGAACAACAAGAGUUACUGAACCAGAAAUUGAACUUGCCUUCUUCAUGCAUCAGAUGAACCAUAAAGGGAACAACACUACUACCCUCUCCAAAAUUGAGCUGCUCAGGACUUCGUAGAAAUUUACAGCUUCAGGACAUGUGAUUUAUCCAUUCUCUUUUACUGUUUAUUCUAAAAUGCAAAAAAAAAAAAGAAAUUUUGUUGUAGCUUAGAUUAAGGCAGCCUCAGCUUUGUGGUUUGCCAAGCCAUGUAAUGAUAUAUGAAUGUGAUACUUUAAUUAAUGUUGAAACGCAUGAUUAUGUAUUUGAACUUAAUUGACUGAAUGUGUCCUGGAAUCGGUUUAGAACUUAAUAUAUCAAUCAGACUUUUGUUC